AAAACAUCGCCUCUUGAAAAACAUAAGAGGUCCAGCCUGCCCAGUGACUCUGUUCAACGGCCGCGGUAUCCUAACCGUGCGAAGGUAGCGUAAUCACUUGCCCUUUAAAUGAGGGCUAGUAUGAAUGGCAUCACGAAAGUUGUACUGUCUCCUUCCCCUAAUCAGUGAAACUAAUCUCCCCGUGAAGAAGCGAGGAUACUUAUAUAAGACGAGAAGACCCUAUGGAGCUUUAAACCAAGCAUCAACUGCCGCUAUAAACCUACAAUUCCAGAAAUAUAAUUUGUACGCUAGCAUAGUGUAAUGCUGGUUUUAGGUUGGGGUGACCACGGAGUAAAAACAAACCUCCGUGUUGAAUCAGGACCUCCUUAAGCAAUAAGCCACAACUUUAUGCAUCAACAAAUUGACAUAAUUGACCCAAUUCUUUGAUCAACGAACCAAGUUACCCUAGGGAUAACAGCGCAAUCCAUUUCAAGAGCCCCUAUCGACAAAUGGGUUUACGACCUCGAUGUUGGAUCAGGACAUCCUAGUGGUGCAGCCGCCACUAAAGGUUCGUUUGUUCAACGAUUAAAGUCCUA
rnacentral:rRNA from 1 species